GGGGGAAUCUUGGGCAAUGGGCGAAAGCCUGACCCAGCGACGCCGCGUGGGGGAAGAAGGCCUUCGGGUCGUAAACCCCUGUUCUGGAGGAAGAACCCAGGAUAGGUGAAUAACCUAUCCUGGCUGACGGUACCC
rnacentral:rRNA from 1 species